GGACACCAUCCUGGGCCUGUCUCCAGCCCCUUGCGUUCCCGCAUCACGCUCCACCUGCUGGAGCUGCUGAGCAGGGAGGAGCCGUGCUGGGACCUGCCUGCCAUGGCAUUCCUUGUGGAGGUCCUGGACUGCCUGGACACGAGGGAAUGCGGUGACAGGGUCCUGGAGAUGCUUUCAAGGAAAACGGGGAGCACCAACACAAAGCGGCGUCAACUGGCGCUCCGAGUCCUCGUGGCACUCAGCCAGGAUCCCGUGAUGGCCAAGAGCAUCUGGAGCCUGAAUGAAAGGCUCGUGCAGCUACUGGGGGAUGCAGACAGAGAUGUGGUU